AUCUCAUCCCCAAAUGUAUCUGGAAUCUCAGGGGUCUGGGAAUUUGGGAUUAUAAGACUUGAGGGCACAGGUAUCCCGGCUUUCCAGAAGUUCGAGUCCGCCCUUUUCUCUUAUGAAAGACCCACAUUAGUCUGGGGAAGGCUUCCUCACGGACGUGGAGAGUCCUCCAGAUGGUUUUGGUUAGCAAGGCCAGAGGCUGAUGCAGAACUUUUGUCAGCUGCGCGGUGGAACGCGAACCUUCGGCAAGUGGGCGGUACUUUGCGCCCACCCGAGUUUUCGCGGGAUCGCUGUGCCUGCAGAGCCGCGGAGCCGAGACAGACGCGGGGUCCGCAGGGAAGAAAGAACGCGGCGCUGGUGUGCAUGUGUGCACGUGCAUGUGUGUGUAAACUUGGGACGUCAUCCGGAACAGGGACGGACCCUUUCGUGGGUGAAACUGUGCAGCUCCUCGUGGCCGGCACAGGGAGGUCAGCUGCUCCCGCGAGAGGACUGCAAAAGACAAGCCGUGCUGCAGAGAAUUGGCUCAUUUCCGGAUCCCGGGACAGGGCCACCCCUCUGGUGGGCAUUCAGAGAAGCCGGGGUCACGAGCGUCGACUCCUUGCCACCACACCGGGCAGCCGUGGCCCAGCCAGUGGCCACCACCGUGGCCUAACUCUGAGCGCUCGCCGGACAGUGUGACCACCUGCUGCCCCUACGGUCCACCCCCCAGGAGCAGCCAGAGGGGUGCCACGGGCACAAACGACUCGGACUGAUAUUCAAGAGGCACAGGAAGAUGGGGUGACAUUACGAGACCCCCAGUGGCUGCUGUCGGCGGCCAGUGGAUCCUCGUCUUACGCUUGGGAGCAGUGAGCUUCCGGGGUCCUCCUCUCCCCACGGGCAGCACUGGGUGUCUGUGCAGGAUUCCACUGUGGGGAUGAGUCACUGCUCACUCCCCCAGGCCCUCCUCAUGCCUUCCCAUUUUUGGUAUUACAAACCGCAGUCCAGCCCAUGGCCCGUCCUCGGGUGGUUGUCACGGAUGAGCACAUUUAUCCUCGAGUGGAAGCGCUAAUCCAAGACGUGGACAUGUGCAGUCUGGGAAGAUAGUCCCAAAUCGUGUGCUGGAUGGAUUACCAGUGUACACGACCACAGCCACCCAGGCACCGCGAGAUCAACCACACAAGUCGCGUCGUGUGGCAGGCGAGAAGUGGUGCCUCUAUGUGAUUUUAUUUGCUUUUCUCCUAGUACUAGCGAGAUUGCACACUGCCCAUGUCUCCGUGUCCUACAAAUUACCAGUUUCAAACUCUAUUUUCUAUUUGGAAAAUUAUGACUGGCCUUUUUCUUAUUGAUUUGCAAGCACUCUUUAUUUGUUAAGGAAAGUCAGCUUUUAUCUAUAACAUGAGUUGUAAAUACAGUUUCCUCAUUUGCUGUUUAUUUAACUGUUUACACAUUUAUUAUCUCUCUCUGCCACUGGAUGGCCAGCCCCAGAAGGGCAAGGAGUGUCUGAGUGCCCAAGCAUAUUGUCCCCUUCACCCAGGAGCCUGCCCUGGGCUCUCAGCUAAUUUUGUGCUUCCCAGGGCCUGAACAGCUCCAUGGCAGCAAGGCCAACUCUGGGCUCAGGUCCAGCCCGCAUGCCCUCCCCCCAUUUUGUACCACCUGGUGGUUGCAGUGUGUCC
ensembl:lncRNA